UGUCCAGCUGCUGAAACUCCUUCUUGAGCUUGGAGAAGUCGGCCUCCAGCCAGGUGUGCUCCAGCUUGGCCUCGUUCAGCUGGCUCUUCAGCUGCUUGUGAUCGGUUGUCAGCAGCUCGUUGUCGCUGAGAAGCUGCCGUUCUUGUCUGAGUCGUCUGAUCUUGGCCUUGGAGUCAGCCAGCUCCACCGCCAGGUGUUGCUGGGACCCGGCCUGCUGCUGCUGCUGAAUGCUGGGAGAGUAGCUGCCGGACUGUGGGCUGGAGGGGCUACCGAGCAAGCUAACCACGCCUUCCUUCUCCUGCAUCAGCUCUGCUAUAGUCUGCAGAGAGGAAGCAGAAGAGGUGACAAGUGGGCUGAGCAUGAACUGGUCCAGACAGGGCAGAAACCCUCCACUCUCCAUCCUGGCUGAGGUUUGUGGCUGAUGGAUCUCAACAGAUCAUCCACGGAGAGCCGGCUGGGCGCUACAUGUUCCUCCACAAUUCCGCCUGCGGCUUCCCCCGGGAGACGUGUCAGUGGAACCGGCGACGCGUCGAUGCUCACGCAAAAUCUCGCCCGCAUUUUGUCCCGCAAAUCAACGCACAGCCUCCACACACACACUCACACAUUCAUCCUCC